rnacentral:rRNA from 1 species
CACUUCUAAGGAAGGCAGCAGGCGCGCAAAUUACCCAAUCCUGACUCAGGGAGGUAGUGACAAGAAAUAACAAUAAACCGGCUUAUGCCGGUUUAAUUGGAAUGAGUACAAUUUAAACAUCUUAACGAGGAACAAUUGGAGGGCAAGUCUGGUGCCAGCAGCCGCGGUAAUUCCAGCUCCAAUAGCGUAUACUAAAGUUGUUGCAGUUAAAAACCUCGUAGUUGGAUUUCUGUGGGGACGGAGCGGCCGGCCGCAACACGCGGUUCGAGCUAGCGCUUUCCCUACAUCCUGCCGCGAACCGUGCUACCAUUAAUUUGGUGGCGCCGGGGAUCGGCUCGAUUACUUUGAGAAAAAUAGAGUGUUCAAAGCAGGCCACAUGCCUUGAAUAAGUUAGCAUGGAAUAAUAACUAAGGACUUCGGUUCUAUUUUGUUGGUGUUCGGGACUGAAGUAAUGAUUGAUAGGGACAGUUGGGGCGGUCUGUAUUCCAAAGCGAGAGGUGAAAUUCUUAGACCUUCGGAAGACAAACAGCUGCGAAAGCGUUCCGCAAGGAUGUUCCCUUUGAUCAAGAACGAAAGUUGGGGACCGAAGACGAUCAGAUACCGUCGUAGUCUCAACUAUAAACUAUACCAGCUAGGGAUCGGCCAACGUUAUUUAAACCGACUUGGUCGGCACCUUAUGAGAAAUCAAAGCAUCUGGGUUCCGGGGGGAGUAUGGUCGCAAGGCUGAAACUUAAAGGAAUUGACGGAAGGGCACCACCAGCCGUGGAGCCUGUGGCUUAAUUUGACUCAACACGGGAAAACUUACCAGGUCCAGACAUAGUAAGGAUUGACAGAUUGAUAGCUCUUUCUUGAUUCUGUGGGUGGUGGUGCAUGGCCGUUCUUAGUUGGUGGAGUGAUUUGUCUGGUUAAUUCCGUUAACGAACGAGACCCCAGCCUGCUAAAUAGCGCGUGUGAGCUUUGCUCGCAGCGAGCUUCUUAGAGGGACUAUGAUGCGCGAUAGCACAUGGAAGUUUGGGGCAAUAACAGGUCUGUGAUGCCCUUAGAUGUUCUGGGCCGCACACGGGCUACACUGGCGCCUGCAACGAGCAUAUCAGCUGGCCCGAGAGGGUCUUGGCUAAUCUUUUGAACCGGCGCCGUGCUUGGGAUUGACCUUUGCAAUUGUUGGUCAUGCAACGAGGAAUGCCUUGUAAACGCGAGUCAUCAGCUCGCAUUGAAUACGUCCCUGCCCUUUGUACACACCGCCCGUCGCUCCUACCGAUGAAUGUUCCGAUGAAAUUUUCGGAGAGCACCUGUGAACUUGGCUCUGCCUUGCGAACGGGAGGCUCAAAGUCACUUAAAUCUGAACAUUUC